AGCGCAGGGUGGUACGGGGUACUACCCAGGAGACUACUCCGAAGCGAGAACUCAUAUACGAGUCUGAUACAUAAGUGCCUUAUUUAGCUUCCUAGAGGGCCGCGUCUACAGUGUGUAGAGUAUACCUACAGCUCGACGGUAGCUGUAUUAUGAUGUCAGCCACACGGAACUGAGACACUUCCGACUCCUACGGGAGGCUGCAGUCGAGAUCUUUUCCAUGGACGCAAGUCUGAGAAUGCGACGUCGCGUGAAGGAUGAAGCGUUUCGGCGUGUAAACUUUUUUGCCAGGGAGGAACGUUUUUUGUUAACAGCAGAAAAACUUGACUGUACCUGGCGAAUAAGCCACGGCUAACUCCGUGCCAGCAGCCGCGGUAAUACGGAGGUGGCUAGCGUUACUCGGUUUGACUGGGUGUAAAGGGUCCGCAGGCGGUCAAAUAAGUAGAAAGUGAAAUCUUCCGGCUUAACCGGAAAACUGCUUCCUAAACUGUUUGACUAGAGGCUGAAAGAGGAGAGUGGAACUGUUGGUGUAAGGGUGAAAUCUGUGGAUAUCAACAGGAACGCCCGUGACGAAGGUGGCUCUCUGGUUCAGACCUGACGCUCAGGGACGAAAGCUAGGGGAGCAAACAGGAUUAGAUACCCUGGUAGUCCUAGCUGUAAACGAUGGGCACUAGGUGCUCCUGUCUUUGACGGGGGUGUCGAAGCUAACGCGUUAAGUGCCCCACCUGGGGACUACGGCCGCAAGGCUAAAACUCAAAGGAAUUGACGGGGGCCCGCACAAGCGGUGGAACACGUGGUUUAAUUCGAUGCUACGCGAGGAACCUUACCAGGGCUUGACAUGCUGGGAGUAAUCGCCUGAAAGGGUGGAUGACCUGUAACCAAUCAGGAUCCAGUGCAGGUGCUGCAUGGUUGUCGUCAGCUCGUGCCGUGAGGUGUUCCCUUAAGUGGGAAAACGAGCGCAACCCUCGCUCUUAGUUGCCAUCAGCCUGUUUUCAGGAGUUGGGCACUCUAAGGGGACUGCCUACGUUAAGUAGGAGGAAGGCGGGGACGACGUCAGAUCCGCAUGGCCCUUAUGUCCUGGGCUACACACGUGUUACAAUGGCGUGUACAACGGGGGGCAAGACCGUAAGGUGGAGCAAAUCCCUAAAAACACGUCCCAGUCCGGAUCGAGGCUUGCAAUUCAGCCUCGUGAAGUUGGAAUCGCUAGUAAUGGCGCAUCAGCCACGGCGCCGUGAAUACGUUCCCGGGCCUUGUACACACCGCCCGUCAAGCGCUGAAAGUGGGAGGCGCCCGAAGUCCCGACGUAAGUCGGGAUCACGGUGAAGUUCAUGAUUGGCGCUAAGUCGUAACAAGGUAACCGUA
rnacentral:rRNA from 1 species